rnacentral:rRNA from 1 species
AUUGAACGCUGGCGGCAGGCCUAACACAUGCAAGUCGAACGGUAACAGGAAGCAGCUUGCUGCUUUGCUGACGAGUGGCGGACGGGUGAGUAAUGUCUGGGAAACUGCCCGAUGGAGGGGGAUAACUACUGGAAACGGUAGCUAAUACCGCAUAACGUCGCGAGACCAAAGAGGGGGACCUUAGGGCCUCUUGCCAUCGGAUGUGCCCAGAUGGGAUUAGCUAGUAGGUGGGGUAACGGCUCACCUAGGCGACGAUCCCUAGCUGGUCUGAGAGGAUGACCAGCCACACUGGAACUGAGACACGGUCCAGACUCCUACGGGAGGCAGCAGUGGGGAAUAUUGCACAAUGGGCGCAAGCCUGAUGCAGCCAUGCCGCGUGUAUGAAGAAGGCCUUCGGGUUGUAAAGUACUUUCAGCGGGGAGGAAGGGAGUAAAGUUAAUACCUUUGCUCAUUGACGUUACCCGCAGAAGAAGCACCGGCUAACUCCGUG